GGAAAACGGUGAGCACGAAGGAGAAUUUGGGAUGAGUUAUGGAAGGAAUGACACAGCAGUUGCCUGAGAAAACAAUGUCAUGGCUGCCCCUUUGAACUUCAGGCUUUUAUGAUAAUGGCCUCAACACUUGCAUUGAAGUAGAAACUGUCUCCAACAAAAUACCAACUCUCGUAUGUGAGAUAUUUGAUUGACAGAAGAUAAAGGAAUAACAAAUUAGGAAGCUUAGUAUUUGAUUAGCCCCAAAGGUGAACAGAUGGAGGGUGGGGAACAAGAAGAAAAUGUCUGCAGAAGAUGAUGAGGAAAAAGAUUUGGAGAUACAAACAUUCUUUUGUGUCCUGGAUUGAUCAUUCUGGAAUAAGUCAGCCACCAUAUUGUGAGGACAUACAAGCAGGCCAUAGAGGGAUCUACUGGGGAGAAAUUGAAGCCUCCUGCCAACUACCAGCAUCAUGUGAGUAAGCCUUCUGGGAAGCAGAUCCUCCAGGCCAAGCCAAGUUGUGAGGAGAUGUAGCCUCAGCUGACAUCUUGACUGUAACCUCAUGAGAGAUCCUGAGCCAGAAUCAUCCAGCUAC